AGCGAACGUUAGCGGCGGGCCUAACACAUGCAAGUCGAACGCGAAAGGUCUUCGGACUGAGUAGAGUGGCGCACGGGUGAGUAACACGUAGGUAAUCUACCCUUUGGCGGGGGAUAACGUUCCGAAAGGAGCGCUAAUACCGCAUAAGACCACGGAGUCUCCGGACGCUGUGGGAAAAGGUGGCCUCUUCUUGAAAGCUACCACCGAAGGAUGAGCCUGCGUCCCAUCAGCUAGUUGGUAAGGUAAUGGCUUACCAAGGCGAAGACGGGUAGCUGGUUUGAGAGAAUGAUCAGCCACACUGGCACUGGAACACGGGCCAGACUCCUACGGGAGGCAGCAGUGAGGAAUAUUGGGCAAUGGGCGAAAGCCUGACCCAGCCACGCCGCGUGAGUGAUGAAGGCCCUCGGGUCGUAAAGCUCUGUGGAGAGGGACGAAAACCCUGGUUUCAAAUAGGCUCCAGGCUUGACGGUACCUCUUUAGUCAAGCACCGGCUAACUACUGUGCCAGCAG
rnacentral:rRNA from 1 species